rnacentral:rRNA from 1 species
CGCACAGUAAACGAUGAAUACCAGCUGUUGGCGAUAGACAGUCAGCGGCGUAAGCGAAAGCGUUAAGUAUUCCACCUGGGGAGUACGCCGGCAACGGUGAAACUCAAAGGAAUUGACGGGGGCCCGCACAAGCGGAGGAACAUGUGGUUUAAUUCGAUGAUACGCGAGGAACCUUACCCGGGAUUGAACGUAAGUGGAAUAACGUCAAAAGAUGUUAGCUAGCAAUAGCCACUUACGAGGUGC